GGAUAGCUUUGGGAUGGGAACUGAGACCUUCAGGACCGGUGGUGGCACCUCGGGGACCUUCGGGGACACCUCGGGGACCGGAGCUGAGACCUUCAGGAGCAGUGGUGGCACCUCGGGGACCAGUGGUGGCAUCUCGGGGGGCUUCGUGGAUACCUUGGACACCAACGGUGGCAUCUCGGGGACCUUUGGGGACACCUCAGGGACCUUCAGGGACACCUUGGGGACUGGAGCUGAGACCUUCAGGAGCAGUGGUGGCACCUCGGGGACCGGUGGUGGCACCUUGGAGACCUUUGGGGACACCUUGGGGACCUUCGGGGACACCUCAGGGACUGGUGGUGGCAUCUCGAGGACCUUCAGGGACACCUCGGGGACCUCUGGUGGCACCUUCAGGACCACUGGUGGCACCUCGGGGACCUCAUGGGCCGGUCCCACUGGUUUUACUGGGGACCCCAGAGGUCCUGGUGGCCAAACUGGUCACACUGGUGGCCCAGGAGGUCCCAGGGGUCAUUUCAGUGGCCAAACCGGUUUCAGUGGCCAAACUGGUCACACUGAUUUCAGUAGCCAAACCGGUUUCAGUGGCCAAACUGGUCAAGCUGAUGGCCCCAGAAGUUUUGGAGGCCCCAGAGCCCAUUUCAGUAGCCAAACUGGUCACACUGGUCA
rnacentral:lncRNA from 1 species